CCUACGGGAGGCAGCAGUGAGGAAUAUUGGUCAAUGGGCGCGAGCCUGAACCAGCCAAGUCGCGUGAGGGAUGAAGGUUCUAUGGAUCGUAAACCUCUUUUAUAAGGGAAUAAAGUGUGGGACGUGUCCUAUUGUGUAUGUACCUUAUGAAUAAGGAUCGGCUAACUCCGUGCCAGCAGCCGCGGUAAUACGGAGGAUGCGAGCGUUAUCCGGAUUUAUUGGGUUUAAAGGGUGCGUAGGCGGGCAUUUAAGCCGGCGGUCAAAUGUCGGGGCUCAACCCCGGCCUGCCGUCGGAACUGGGUGUCUUGAGUGGGCGAGAAGUAUGUGGAAUGCGUGGUGUAGCGGUGAAAUGCAUAGAUAUCACGCAGAACCCCGAUUGCGAAGGCAGCAUACCGGCGCCCUACUGACGCUGAGGCACGAAAGUGCGGGUAUCGAACAGGAUUAGAUACCCUAGUAGUC
rnacentral:rRNA from 1 species